UACAGAGGGUGCAAGCGUUAAUCGGAAUUACUGGGCGUAAAGCGUGCGCAGGCGGUUGUGCAAGACCGAUGUGAAAUCCCCGGGCUUAACCUGGGAAUUGCAUUUGUGACUGCACGGCUAGAGUGUGUCAGAGGGGGGUAGAAUUCCACGUGUAGCAGUGAAAUGCGUAGAUAUGUGGAGGAAUACCGAUGGCGAAGGCAGCCCCCUGGGAUAACACUGACGCUCAUGCACGAAAGCGUGGGGAGCAAACAGG
rnacentral:rRNA from 1 species